rnacentral:rRNA from 1 species
UACGGAGGGGGUUAGCGUUGUUCGGAAUUACUGGGCGUAAAGCGCACGUAGGCGGAUCAGAAAGUUGGGGGGUGAAAAUCCCCGGGGGCUCAACCCCCGGGAACUGCCUCCAAAAACUCCUGGUCUUGAGUUCGAGAGAGGUGAGUGGAAUUCCGAGUGUAGAGGUGAAAUUCGUAGAUAUUCGGAGGAACACCAGUGGCGAAGGCGGCUCACUGGCUCGAUACUGACGCGUGAGGUGCGAAAAGGUGUG